rnacentral:lncRNA from 1 species
CAAGCAAGCAAACAACAACAUGCUUGUAAUCCCAGCUCCUGAGUGGUAGAGGCAGGAGAAUUCCGAGUUCUAGGAUAGGCUGGGCGGUUUGGCAAGACUUUGUCUAUGUAAAAAUACAGAAUCAAAACUCACUAAGUAACUUCAAUAACCAGCAUGGCGCUUCUCUAUUGGCCCAGCCUUCAGGAAGCAGAGGCAGGAGGAAGAUCACUGCAUUCAAGGUUACCCUACUUUAUUAGCUGUAGGCCAGCCAGGACUGGAGUGAGACCCACCCACCUUGCUAUCAUCCUCAUAGUGUAUAGCGCUGUCUCAUUUUUAUUCCUUCUCUCUCUACUAGGGGAAACUGGCUCUUUAGUUGUUGUUUUUGUAUGUAUAUGCGUGUAUAUGUGUACACAUAUGUUGAGGCCUAGAUUUCACAGAACCUAAUCCUCUUUUAGCCAAAACCCAAGGAGUAUUCUUGUUUCUGCCUCCCAAGUGCUGGGGUUACAGGAGCACACUGCCUUGCCUGGCUUUUUCCUUUGGUGCUGGGGAUCAGGCUCAGAAACUUUUUAUUUGUUCUCUUUUUUCAGGACUCAAUACAAGUAAAAAGAAUGUUUUUAUUUUUCUCUUAUACAAUUGAGAGUGUAUUUUACAUUUAUGUGACUUUUCACCCUUUGCUGAUUUUACUUAGAAACUUUUCCUUAAUAACUAAAAAAAAAAAAUAAAU